UACUCUCUUGGGCUGUCUUAGAUUUGGGGAUGAACCUAGAUGACCCAAAGCAAAAUUAUGAACUCAUCCAAGUAGUGGCCUUCAAUUCAGAGAAGAAAAAGAGCGGAGUUCUGAUAAGGAGGAACGGUGAGGGUGCUACACACGUACACUGGAAGGGUGCUACUGAGAUGAUCGUGGCAAUGUGUUCACAAUAUUAUGAUAGAAGAGGAACAAUUAAAGCCAUGGAUGAUGAAGAAAGAACAGAGAUUGGGACAAUUAUUCAGAAUAUGGCUGCAAAAAGCUUGAGGUGCAUAGCAUUUGCUCACACCAAAAUUCCAGAAGACAAUGAGCAGGUUUUGGAAGAAAGCAGACUCACCUUGUUAGGGAUGGUAGGUUUGAAAGACCCAUGUCGUCCUGGUGCCAGAAUAGCCGUGGAAUCUUGCAUAGAUGCUGGAGUAAACAUCAAGAUGAUAACUGGAGACAAUGUCUUCACAGCAAAGGCUAUAGCGAUUGAAUGUGGCAUUCUGGAACCUCAUGAGGAUAUGAACGAAGCGGUAAUAGAAGGUGUACAGUUCAGAAAUUACUCACCACAAGAGAGAAUGGCAAAGAUCAAUAAAAUCCGUGUGAUGGCCAGAUCGUCACCUUUUGAUAAACUUCUGAUGGUACAGUGUCUAAAGCAGAAUGGUCAUGUUGUAGCAGUCACG
rnacentral:lncRNA from 1 species